GACGAACGCUGGCGGCGUGCUUAACACAUGCAAGUCGAACGGGCUUCUGGGGUUCUGGCUUUUUUGGUUGGGGUUCUGGGGGUUAGUGGCGAACGGGUGAGUAACACGUGAGUAACCUGCCCUUCACUUCUGGAUAACCGCUUGUACGGGUGGCUAAUACGGGAUGUUUCUGGGUCUGUCGCAUGGCGGGUUCGGGAAAGAUUGCACUGUUUGGUGUUUUUGGUGGGGGAUGGGCUCGCGGCCUAUCAGCCUGCUGGUGGGGUGAUGGCCUGCCAAGGCUUUGACGGGUAGCCGGCCUGAGAGGGUGGGCGGUCACACUGGGACUGAGAUACGGCCCAGACUCCUACGGGAGGCAGCAGUGGGGAAUAUUGCACAAUGGGCGGAAGCCUGAUGCAGCGACGUCGCGUGAGGGAUGGAGGCCUUCGGGUUGUGAACCUCUUUCGCCAGUGAGGAAGGCCUUGCCCGCGUGGUGGGGUUGACGGUAGCUGGGUUAAUUGAAGCGCCGGCUAACUACGUG
rnacentral:rRNA from 1 species